CACAACUUUGCUAUUAUAAGACCAUCUUUAUUUGAUAUCGUGGCACUAAGAGGCAACAUCAAUCAAAUAACAACUGAUACACCAGAUUGGAUAUGUAAGGUCCAAAUUAUCGACAUAAGUCGAGAAUGAGAGAGUCCCGAGAAAAAAGUUAGAUUUCAAAAUCUGAUCUUUGAAGAUGAAGAGAGCAACAAAUUCGGUGAGUCGUGUAUGGCGAUGCUAUUCCAUAUUAUGCUGACAAGCUUAAAUUCUUCUAGACAUAUCUAAUCUCCACUGGAAAAGUUAAAGCUUCAUCAACUUUAUAUGGUCCACCAAUAUAUAAAUUUUAUUGGGUGCUUGAUCGCAAGACUAUAGUGGAACAUAUUGAGCCAAAUAAUGAGAGUGAAAAACCACUGCUACCACCGGCAAAGUUGAAUAUCACUUCUUUCGACCACAUUGCUCAGAUGACUCCACAACACACUGCUACAGAAAUUGGUUAUUCACCCCUGUCAACUAUUACCUUGAUGAAACAUUUGGCUUAUAAAAAUAUAUUCCCCUCAUUAUAUUUCUUCGCUCCGGAAAGAUCAUUCUGAUUUUUUUUCCCAAGCAGAUAUAUUGGGAGUCAUCGUCCGCUGUGGCUGUCCAAAAUAUGCAGGUCGUGCUUUAAAUAGAUGCCGGGAGAUUACUAUUAAAAACAAUCAGAAAAAGCACUUUCUGCUCACUUUAUGGGAGGACUUUGCAGACAUUGAAGGAGUGGAGCUUUUGGAAAAAAUCAAAAAUAUGAAGGAUAUCUUGUAAUUCUUGGAAGAAGUAUCAAAAUAUCUCCUUAUCGGCUUAUCACUUCAAACUAGAUUCAACUCAACAAUACAAAUAAAUCCUACUUAUCCCCCAGGCAUUGAAGUUGAUCAAUUGGGCAAAAACGAACAAAGAUAUACUUUCAGCUUAUGCAUCAGGUGGUGUUUCAGGGUCAUCCCCCUCUCUCACAUCGCUUCCUGUUCAGCAACAAGUGAUCCCCAUCGCAGACAUUGUGGCACAAAAUGCUAUUGGGAUUUUCUAUAUUGAGGCAGAAAUAUCAAUAACAGAUGACAUGCAGAAGUUUUGUGUGCUUGAAUAUUGAUAAUAGGCUAGAUUUAUGUGUAGUUUGGCGACUAUUUAUGCCCCAACUUGACUAUGUUUCACUAUUCUAGGAUAGUUAAAUGACGAUAAAUUGGCUGUAAUUGUGAGUUUCAUGUUUUGCAGGAGCGAGUUACGCUUAUGAGAACUUAGGACAGUGUUUGGAGCUAAAUUAAAGCAAGGAAAGCCCCUCGGAGCUGAGUACAUUUGAAAGAAUAGAGAAAAGAAGAGCAAAAAUGAUGACCCAGCUUAGCGCGGCCAUUAGCGCGACCGCGCUAGUUCAGAACCUCGAGGCAGAAUAAUAUGCUAUAUGCGUGGCCAUUAGCGCGGGCACGAGCGCGGCCGCGCUAGUCCAGGUCGGAGCAAAUAAUUUCAGGGGUAAACUUGAAAGCUCGGGGGUAAUUCUACUUUACCUAUAAGAGGUCCAGCUCGCCCAAGGAGACAUUAUCAAGGUUUUUACAAUUGAGUUGAAGGCAAGAAGAGGCAAGAGGCAAGGAGGAUAAUUCGACAUCGAGUUCUACCUUUCUUCCUUUUAUAUUUACCGUUUAUGAUGAAUUUUCAUGCUAUGAUGAACACGUUUAUGAGUAGCUAAUUAUUUAGUCUAGGGUUUUGAUGGAACCUGUUGA